ACUGAUCCCCGAAAUACCGGAUUCGACACUAAAUCGAACCCCUAAAUCAAUGCGGAAGACGAAGCCCGGGAAAACGAACACGCAUCACCGAUCCUAAAGCACACCACGGAUUCGAGCGUACCUUUUAGCCACAGAUUAAACACCGACGUUGAUGGAGGAAGAGAAACUGAGCAAUUCGAUCCGAUGAAGCCUUAAAGGGAGGAAGAACAAGCCGUAUGCUUACUGUCUUUUCUUUUGUCUUUUGAGAGAGAAUACGCGCGGGAGAGAGACGACGUGAAUUCUGA
rnacentral:lncRNA from 1 species